UACGUAGGGGGCAAGCGUUGUCCGGAAUCAUUGGGCGUAAAGAGCGUGUAGGCGGCCCGGUAAGUCCGCUGUGAAAGUCCAGGGCUCAACCCUGGGAUGCCGGUGGAUACUGUCGGGCUCGAGUCCGGAAGAGGAGAGUGGAAUUCCUGGUGUAGCGGUGAAAUGCGCAGAUAUCAGGAGGAACACCCGUGGCGAAAGCGGCUCUCUGGGACGGUACUGACGCUGAGACGCGAAAGCGUGGGGAGCAAACAGG
rnacentral:rRNA from 1 species